rnacentral:rRNA from 1 species
AUUGAACGCUGGCGGCAGGCCUAACACAUGCAAGUCGAACGAGUGGCGGACGGGUGGGUAAUGUCUGGGAAACUGCCCGAGCGAGGGGGAUAACUACUGGAAACGGUAGCUAAUACAGCAAACCAUCGGAUGUGCCCACAUGGGUGUAGCUAGUGGGUGGGGUAACGCCUCACCUAGGCGACGAUCCCUAGCUGGCAUGAGAGGAUGACAAGCCACACUGUAACUGAGAAACGGUCCAGACUCCUACGGGAGGCAGCAGUGGGGAAUAUUGCACAAUGGGCGCAAGCCUGCUGCAGCCAUGCCGCGUGUAUGAAGAAGGCUUUAGGGUUGUAAAGUACUUUCAGCGAGGAAGCGUUACCCGAAGAAGAAGCACCGGAUAACUCCGUGCAAGCAGCCGCGGUAAUUC